rnacentral:rRNA from 1 species
ACCUGGUUGAUCCUGCCAGUAGUCAUAUGCUUGUCUCAAAGAUUAAGCCAUGCAUGUCUAAGUAUAAUCAUUUUAUCGAAAAACUGCGGACGGCUCAUUAAAUCAGUUAUAAUCUAUUCGAUGGCUAAAAUUACAUGGAUAACUGUAGUAAUUCUAGAGCUAAUACAUGAACGAAGCCAUGCUUUACUGUGUGGUGUUUUUACAAGUUAACAUAAACCUAUUUUAACUACUGACUUAUUGUCGACGGGUAACGGGGAAUUAGGGUUCGAUUCCGGAGAGGGAGCCUGAGAAACGGCUACCACUUCUAAGGAAGGCAGCAGGCGCGCAAAUUACCCAAUCCCAAUACGGGGAGGUAGUGACAAAAAAUAGCAAUGCUUAGACCAUUCAAAAUGGUCUGGUAAUUGAAAUGAGUACAAUUUAAAAAACUUAACGAGGAACAAUUGGAGGGCAAGUCUGGUGCCAGCAGCCGCGGUAAUUCCAGCUCCAAUAGCGUAUACUAAAAUUGUUGCAGUUAAAAAGCUCGUAGUCGAAAGCCGCGCGUUGCUUUCACUGGGGCCCCCUAGAGGGGCCAAAACUGGUGGAGUGAAGCGCUAUCGUCUUAUAUACCAGACGGCCUUAAUUGUGUCGUUUGAACGUGUAUACAGACUAAAUUACUGUGAAAAAAUUAGAGUGUUCAAGGCAGGCGUUACAGCUUGUAUAGAUUAGCAUAGGAUAAUGAUAAGAUUGAGAAUUUACGUUCUGUAGGUUUAAAAUGCUUAAUAAUGGUUAAUAGGGUUUAUCAGGGGCGCUCAUAUUUAAUUGUCAGAGGUGAAAUUCUUGGAUUUAUGAAAGAUGAACUAAUGCGAAAGCAUCCGCCAUGGGUAUUCCCAUUGAUCAAGAACGAAAGUUAAGGGAUCGAAGACGAUCAGAUACCGUCGUAGUCUUAACUAUAAACGAUACCGACCAACACUCGAAAGACGUUAUAUGGAUGACUCCUCCGGAAGUUUGUGAGAAAUCAUAAGUCUUCGGGUUCUGGGGGGAGUAUGGUCGCAAGGCUGAAACUUAAAGGAAUUGACGGAAGGGCACACCAGAAGUGGAGCCUGCGGCUUAAUUUGACCCAACACGG